rnacentral:misc_RNA from 1 species
GGUGAAGAACGUAGCGAAAUGCGAUACGUAAUGUGAAUUGCAAAUUCAGUGAAUCAUCGAGUCUUUGAACGCACAUUGCGCCCCCUGGUAUUCCGGGGGGCAUGCCUGUCCGAGCGUCAUUGCUGCCCUCAAGCACGGCUUGUGUGUUGGGCCCCGUCCUCCGAUCCCGGGGGACGGGCCCGAAAGGCAGCGGCGGCACCGCGUCCGGUCCUCGAGCGUAUGGGGCUUUGUCACCCGCUCUGUAGGCCCGGCCGGCGCUUGCCGAUCAACCCAAAUUUUUAUCCAGGUUGACCUCGGAUCAGGUAGGGAUACCCGCUGAACUUAAGCAUAUCAAUAAGCGGAGGA